CAAAUGGAAGAAGGAGAAACUGUGCUGACCCUGGAGCGGGAGAGCCUGAUCAUCACAGCUUCACAACUACAAACAGGGCAGGCACUGCAAAGGGGGACAGGCCGGGUGAGGGUAGCAGUCCCAGAGAACUGUCCUUGGUAGCAGUCCCGGAGAACUGUCCUUAAAACAAGGCUCCAGGGCCCGGCUCUGCCUCUCGGCUGGCUGUAGCCGUGAGCCCUGUUCUUUGGGUGGGUUUGGUUAUUUCAAGGGUGGAGUCAGUAGAAAGGAGGUAGAAAGUCUGAUCCCUACCCAGGCUGGCUGAAACUGGUUUUAGUAUUUGUACAGCUGGUGAAACACACUCUUUGAAGUUUCUGCUUAAACACAGAAGUUAGAAUUAACACCUGGGCGGAGAGGGAAAGCUUGGCCUGUCAACAUGGCUGCAACCCGCGGUGAUCCUCCUGCCUCCACCUCUUGAAAGGACGGCGUGUGUCACCAAGCCCAGCUCCAUUCGUGCUAAUUCUUACGAAGGGGAAGGACGAGUAUUGUUAUUUUUGAGAAGGAAAAGACAUGCUAUUUGAUGUGGUGCAGAUCUUGAAAAAUGACUUUGUUCUGUUCCCCCUAUAAUGACACCACAACAGGAGAAGUUGACAGGGAAGGGCUAAGAAGACUCCGUAGCCACCGUAGCCACCGUAGCCUAAGUUACAGCGAGGGGACGAGGCCACUUCAUUACAAGGCUGAGGGGCUAAGAGCCAUACAGAUCUCUGACUGACAGACAGGCAGGAAAAGGGGCCACAGAUAGAGAAGAAAGACGGCAAACUCUUGGCCUCUCCUUCACUCUCUUGACCUGAAGGGAAUAAUGCCUUCCUGUCUCCAGGCAGACUUGCUUGUUGUUUUGGGGUUUCUGACUUGCAGCCAACGAGAGCCAGAUCUGUGGAGAGGGGCUCCCUUGCUUCCCACAGCCCCUUCUUUUCCCUCAACUUUCUGUCCUGCCUCAACAACAUUUCAAAUUUGCCAGCGCUGUUUUGAAAAAACCACUGCCCCCACACUGAGAGCAAGGCUGCUAGGGUCAGAGCGCAUAGCAGAAGAAUGUGCUUUCAGUUUCUCUCAUAAUUGCUGGGAAAUCAAAACUUAAGUACUCCCUGGUGGCGCAGUCCCAGCUGAAGCAACAGCUUCUGCCUUCCUGGAAACAUCCUUGAUGCACUGCUAGGAGACCAGGACCAGGACAGCAUCCAGGGAGGGACUAUUUGUAUUGAUACUCAGAUGCGGUUUCUGUCUGUGCUGAGCAUCCAGGCCAGAAUGUACCCAAGGUGCUGGUCAGAUGUCAAACGCUCUCUUCCUGGUCUCCACACUCUCAGAAACAAAGGGACGGGGACACCAAGUGCCUCCUGCCCCUCUCAGGCUCCCAGUUGCCUCUGACUUUCGUCUGGAUUCCUCAACGGUACAUGCCUCUGUUGACAGGGUCAUGCAAACUCAGCUCUCGUGUUAACAAGGCCAUAGAAGCUCUUCUCUGUAAGUUGCUCUUUGUACUGCUCCAACAGGAAGGAACGCCUGGUCCUUCAUGCCAGCCACUGCCCCUUGUUGACGUUGUCUGCUGUUGGAAGAGACACAACCCCGAGACUCCUUCCAAUGGGUUCAGCAGGCCGUGUGUUCCUCUCUUAGGGUUCUAAUGCUGGAAUAGUUUCUAAUCAAGUCUAACGUGGUGGUUGUUGUGCUUUACUCGGUGCUUUCGGUGAGAGAGGAGGAACAAGUAUGUUGUUAGGCUUUAUCAUAUAAGCGAUUUAAGGUAUGUUAGGCUAUGACAAAGGGAGACAGAGUAGAACCAUUAAUAACCGACCAUUAAUCGACUCGAGCCAGGGAGGGCUCUAUAAUUGUAGAACAUGGAAAGCAAGAACGCGUGUGCGAUUCAGGCGUGCUUUCCUGUGGUGGUUGGGUCUGCCGUGUAUUAAUGCUCUCUGGUCAGAAUGUUAAUGUUUUACAGGAAUAAUCUCAUCUGAUCCUUAAAACCCCAUAAUAUGUUCUGUUAUCUCCAUUUUAUUGUGGAAACAAGGAUACUUAUAGGGGCUAAUUAUUGCCCAAGGUCCACAUGGCUAGCGGGCCAGACAAGGUCUGUAAUCACAUCUGUCUGCCACCAGUCGACUAUUUAUCUGUGCUGUACAGAGUCAGGAAAGCCAUCGACUUCUCAGAAUAAUGUUUGCGGUUGGGGUUUUUGGUUUGUUUAUGUGGGAUUCUUCAGGGCGGGGGGCCGGGGGUUAGAAAGUGUGUGCUCUGCCGUUGAAGUCGGUCCUCAGCAGCAAACGGUUUUUAAGCGCCACUGCUCUGAAGUCGGAAUAAAACAAAGCGGAUAGAAGAAAAAGGAGGAGGAGGCUGGGGAUUUAGCUCAGUGGUAGAGCGCUUGCCUAGGAAGCGCAAGGCCCUGGGUUCGGUCCCCAGCUGGGGGUGGGGGGGAGAAAAAGGAGGAGGAGGAAGGGGAGAAAGAAAAAAAAAAGGAUAGGAAAGAAGGAACAGAAAGGGCAAUUAAUUCUCUUGAAAGGAGGAAGGAAGCAGCCUCUCUGAAGGUGGCUCCCCGGAGCCUGUUGCCCUACCACACACAAACCUUUCUUUGCCUUGCUUGAUUUGCAAACAAAAGUGAAACUUAGCUGGGGCCAGUUCCUUACAAUGCCGUUUUAAGGUAAAACAAGACUUAAAUUCAACCAGCCACAAGCUCCCAACGGACUCAAGAAUUCCUGGCAAAGUGGAGCAGACCAGGAAUCUACACUACUCUCUGUUAGAUCUUUCCUUUGCUUCCAGGAAGAUUCGUCCUGAACAAACGACACUUUCCUCCCCUGUCUUCCCUCACCCCCAAACCACCAUCUUUGGUCUCCCUGAUACUCGAAUCACAGUUUGCUGUGACAGGCUCUUGACAUUUCACUGUGUCGACUGGACACUUCUCAGUGGUCAAAAACGCAGCCUCUUGGGUAACUCAGCAGUGAGAAAAGCGUCCAAAGUGAAGGAAGGGAGCUGGAGAGGAUUGCGUUCCAGGGGAUCCAGGUUCGAUUCCCAGCCCCCGCAAGGUGGCUUACAACCAUCCAUAACUCCAGUCCCGGGGGAUCCAACGCCAUCUUCUGGCCUCCCUGGGCAUCAGACAUGUGGUGCACAGACACACAUGUAAGCAAAAACACUUGCACACACAAUAUAAAAGCAAACCUUAAAUAAAAAUGGUGAAGGAAAUACAUGUUCACCUUGGAGGCCAACCAAACCGUGAGGACCGUGAAAGAUCCUCAGGAUGGUGUGUGUCGGGAUAGAAUCACGGCUUGAGUCCCUGACAGAAGGACAGACCACAUCAGGCCAAUACAGUCCCAAGUAGAAGAGGUUUAUUGAGGAUGAUGGAGACAGAAGGGACGGAGUUGGGGGGGGGGGGAGAAAGAAGAAAAAGAGAACGAGGGGGAGGAAGGGCCUGCCUUUUAUUUAAACUGUGACAUAAUUGCUCCCAGGUGAAGGUGGGAGCUGAACCAAAUGUAUGCUGGGAAUGUAUGGCCAUUGCCAUGGCAACAGAUGUGCCUGCAGGUGGCGUCACUGCUGGAGAUGGAAAGUGGUUCCUGAUACCAACAUAAUAUAGCUGGGAUAUGUGCUCAUCUUGGACCUGGAACCAGACCCAAAUGUACCACAAAAUGGCGGCUGGAAGGAGGAGGGACAAGUUGGAACAGGCUUCUAAGAGGAUGGGGUGAAUCCUUCAGGCGCUACAAAGGAGAAGUUGCCACUAACUCCUCAAGGCCAGGAUGCAGAUGAAUGUCUGAAGCUCCAACCUUCUGACACAGGCUCGGAGAGAGAACAGAAAGUACUUCUGGGAGGAAGUGGCUCAGAGCCAUCUAGUUAGAACUCUCUUAAGUUCAAGAGAACUUCCUUGAAGUCACAUGCUUAAUUCGAAAAACGUAAACUUUUCUUUUUACCUUACCGUUGUAUCGGCAUGAAAAUCUUUUUACACGAAACUA